rnacentral:rRNA from 1 species
GACGAACGCUGGCGGCGUGCUUAACACAUGCAAGUCGAACGGAAAGGCCCUGCUUUUGUGGGGUGCUCGAGUGGCGAACGGGUGAGUAACACGUGAGUAACCUGCCCUUGACUUUGGGAUAACUUCAGGAAACUGGGGCUAAUACCGGAUAGGAGCUCCUGCGGCAUGGUGGGGGUUGGAAAGUUUCGGCGGUUGGGGAUGGACUCGAGGCUUAUCAGCUUGUUGGUGGGGUAGUGGCUUACCAAGGCUUGGACGGGUAGCCGGCCUGAGAGGGUGACCGGCCACACUGGGACUGAGAUACGGCCCAGACUCCUACGGGAGGCAGCAGUGGGGAAUAUUGCACAAUGGGCGGAAGCCUGAUGCAGCAACGCCGCGUGCGGGAUGACGGCCUUCGGGUUGUAAACCGCUGUCGCCUGUGACGAAGCGUGAGUGACGGUAAUGGGUAAAGAAGCACCGGCUAACUACGUG